rnacentral:rRNA from 1 species
GGUAGCUAAUACCGCAUAACGUCGCAAGACCAAAGAGGGGGACCUUCGGGCCUCUUGCCAUCGGAUGUGCCCAGAUGGGAUUAGCUUGUAGGUGGGGUAACGGCUCACCUAGGCGACGAUCCCUAGCUGGUCUGAGAGGAUGACCAGCCACACUGGAACUGAGACACGGUCCAGACUCCUACGGGAGGCAGCAGUGGGGAAUAUUGCACAAUGGGCGCAAGCCUGAUGCAGCCAUGCCGCGUGUAUGAAGAAGGCCUUCGGGUUGUAAAGUACUUUCAGCGAGGAGGAAGGUGUUGUGGUUAAUAACCACAGCAAUUGACGUUACUCGCAGAAGAAGCACCGGCUAACUCCGUGCCAGCAGCCGCGGUAAUACGGAGGGUGCAAGCGUUAAUCGGAAUUACUGGGCGUAAAGCGCACGCAGGCGGUCUGUCAAGUCGGAUGUGAAAUCCCCGGGCUCAACCUGGGAACUGCAUCCGAAACUGGCAGGCUAGAGUCUUGUAGAGGGGGG